CCUACGGGUGGCAGCAGUGGGGAAUAUUGGACAAUGGGGGCAACCCUGAUCCAGCCAUGCCGCGUGUGUGAAGAAGGCCCUCGGGUUGUAAAGCACUUUCAGUGAGGAAGAACGCCUGGUGGUUAAUACCCAUCAGGAAAGACAUUACUCACAGAAGAAGCACCGGCUAACUCCGUGCCAGCAGCCGCGGUAAUACGGAGGGUGCGAGCGUUAAUCGGAAUUACUGGGCGUAAAGCGCGCGUAGGUGGCUUGAUAAGCCGGUUGUGAAAGCCCCGGGCUCAACCUGGGAACGGCAUCCGGAACUGUCAAGCUAGAGUGCAGGAGAGGAAGGUAGAAUUCCCGGUGUAGCGGUGAAAUGCGUAGAGAUCGGGAGGAAUACCAGUGGCGAAGGCGGCCUUCUGGACUGACACUGACACUGAGGUGCGAAAGCGUGGGUAGCAAACAGGAUUAGAUACCCCUGUAGUC
rnacentral:rRNA from 1 species